UAAAAGCAGAACUAUAAUAUGAAACUUCCUGUAAGUCUGCAUUUAAGGGAGGAGGCAUGCCAGUAUUUCCUCCUUCCUCGCUCUCUGCUGUUUAGAAUGCAGAUGUAAUGGCUGGAGUUCUGGCAAUUAUAUCAGACCAAGAGAUGGGAGUAAGAUGCUGAGAUGGGAGUCUCAGCAAAGCCAGAAGCCUUGGUCCCCAAAGUCUCUGUGGAGUCACCAUUCCAACUCCGGACUGCCUACUUCUAGGCUUAUUUUGCAUACAUGAGAAACAUAUUCUUCUAUCUUGUCUAAACCACACUUGUUGUUGUUUUCUGUGUUGUGUACAACUGAACUUAAUCCUAAAGCAUGCAUUCAACAAUUAUUUUUAUUAAUUUAUAUAAUUAUAUGAUUAUAUUCACUUUCUGCUUCAUAAUAACUUUUAUCUAGAUUUUAAAAUCGAUUUAGUUUUAAUUAAUAAGUUUCAUUUUUUACAAGUUUUAGGCUCACAAUAAAAUUGAGCAGAAAGUACAGUUUCCACAUAACCAUCCCCCAACACACACCCAGCCCCUUCCACCACCAACAUGUCACAGUAUGUUUUGUUACAACUGAUGAAGUAAUAUUGAUGCCUCAUGUUCAACCAAAGUCCACAGUUUACAUUACAGUUCGCUCUUUGUGACCAAAGCCCACAGUUUACAUAUGGUUCACUGUUUGUGUUGUACAGUCUGUGGGCUUUGACAGAUCUAUCAUGCCAUGUAGCUACCCUUUCAGUGUCAUUCAAUAUAGUUCCAUUGGCUUAAAAAUCCCGUGUUCCAUCUAUUAAUUCCUCCUUCCAUCUUCCCAAAACCCUGGCAAACACUGAUCCUUUACUGUCUGCAUAAUUUUACCUCCCCAGAAUGUCUUAUAGUUGGAAUCAUACAGUCUGUAGCCUUUUCAGAUUGGCUUCUUGCACUUAGUAAUAUGCCUUUAUGCUUCCUCCGUUUCUUUUUUGUGGCUUAAUAGCUCUUUUUCUUUUUUAAGUGCUCAAUACUAUUCCACUGUAUGAAUAUACUACAGUUUAUUUAUCCAUUCACCUAUUGACGGACACCUUGGUGGCUUCUAAGUUUUGGCAAUUAUGAAUAAAGCUGCUAUAAACUUUUGUGCAGAGGUUUCUGGGUGGACCUAAGUUUUCAACUCAUUUGGGAGAAUAUCAAGGAGCAUGAUUGCAGAAUGAUAUGAUAAAAGUGUGUUUAGAUUUGUAAAAAACUGCCAAACUGUUUUCCACAGUGGUCGAACCAUUUUACAUUUUCACCAGCAAUGAAGGAGGGUUCCUGUUGCUCUACCAUUUGGUACUGUCAGCGUUUUGGAUAUUAGCCGUCCUAAUAGCCUUUGCAUGGAUGAUUGUCUGUCCUCUGUUGGGCCCCUUCUGAAGAGUUGGAGUUGGUUGCAAACUAUAGAAACCAUUUGGGCUGGUUUGAGCAUAAAAGGAAAUUACUGGGAGUUAUUAGGUGCUCGGUGAUUCAUUGGGAGGUCUGGCAAAAAAGAAGCUCAAGGCUAAGCUCAUAGGAACACAGCCCGGCAUCUCACACAGAAGUGGCUUGAUGAGGAUUCUACUGCCUCCACAGCUCCUGCCAUCAUCUUCAUCUGCACCAUAGAUGCUCAGAACCCAGUCUGUGUCUGCAUGUUGCUGACUUCCAAAUGAGAGCUUCAUGAGAGUGUAUUUGGUUGGUAGAACAUAGGUCCCAGACCUUCUCCCUGGGAGCUGGAAGAGAUGCUGGGAAAUUCUGCCCUGGAAAAAUAAAACUCACAAUGUGGGAAACAAAGAAAAUGUACAGCAGGGGUUUAACAGAAUGACAGGUAUCUGCUAAAGAAAAUAUUGAUUUUUUUUAAAAAAAAAAAAGACAAUUUUCCCUUUAGAGCCCCAGAAAGAUUCAGGCCUUAGAGGCACUAAGUACUAUAGAAAAUGAGGCUGAAGCAUGGGGCUGAAACUUGGUUUGGUUGAAGGUCUCUGGAAGGCAGAGCAGUUUAACCUCUAGGUUCCCUCAUCCACCCCCAUACAGCCAGACAAUUAUCCCUCCACCCUUCUGUUCUCCUCCCCUCUUCCCUUAGAAAACUUGAAGUUUAUUCUCUAGAGAAGUUCCAGGCUCAGUGACACCAGGCCAAGGUGCUGGACUGAAAACAAUUAGAUUAAGUUAAAAUCUGCUUGAUAAGUGUACAAGUAAUCUAUUUUCAAAACCUAAGAGAUGUUGUCAGCUAUCUCUAACUAUAUGCCAGCAGUAGGCCUUCUAGGAAACUGUACUAUGAUUCCAGGAAACUCGAUUGUGGGCUGGGGAAGGACAAUAAAGUGGAUUGUAUGAUCAUCUGCUUCUGUUACUGGAAAGGGAUCCUGAUCCAGACCCCAAGAGAGGGUUCUUGGAUCUUGUGCAAGAAAGAAUUCAGGAGUCCAUAAAGUGAAAGCAAGUUUAUCAGAGAAGUAAAGAAACAAAAGGAUGGCUACCCCAUAGACAGAGAGCCCUGAGGGCUGCUGGUUGGACAUUUUUAUGGUUAUUUCUUGAUCAUAUGCUAAACAAGGGGUAGAUUAUUCAUAAGUUUUCUGGGAAAGGGGAGGUUCCCAAAACUGAGGGUUCCUCCCCUUUUUAGACCAUAUAAGGUAACUUGGGUGUUGCCAUGGCAUUUGUAAACUGUCAUGGCACUGCUGAGAGUGUCUAUUAGCCUGCUAAUGCAUUAUAAUUAACGUACAAUGAGCAGUGAGGAUGACCAGAGGUCACUUUCAUCACCAUCUUGGUUUUGGCCGGCUUCUUUAUGGCAUCCUGUUUUAUCACCAGGGUCUUUAUGACCCGUAUCUUGUGAUAUCAAUCCUGCCGACCUCCUAUCUCAUCCUGUGGCUAAGAAUGUCUAACCUCCUGGGAAUGCUGCCCAGCAGGUCUCAUUCUCAUUUUACCGAGCCCCUACUCAAGAUGGAGUCGCUCUGGUUUGAACGCCUCUGACACUUCCACUCUCAAGGAAUGGUGUUUUUAUUCUCUUCUCCCCAGAAUGUACUUCUGGUCUGUCCCGCUGUUCCAUUCCACAGCAUUUUAGGAGGUUCUCAAGAGUGUCCUAAACAAGCAGAGAAGAAUGGUGAGACUUACCCAUUCCUAGUUUAAGAAAUGAGUGAAAUGGGGUCUGAGUUAUAUCACAGGUGAGCUAGACAUCCUCGAAAUAAAGAGCCAGAGUAUCAGGCAAACCUUCUAAUAGCUAAAAUGAGCGUACUUCUAUUCCUAGCUACAGUUUAGACUCCUGUGGUACAGUUGGCUUUCCCAGGCUCCCGGCGUCCAUGCUGUCUCGGCGCUAUCUCGCAGCCUGACGCCACGCGCCAUCUGCUGGCCUUGAGCUGCAUAGCUCUAGAGUAACUUCAGAGGCCACGGGGGAACAAAGAGCACUCGCCUACUUGACUGAGCUCCGACAGGCCGUCCCUCUGCUUCAGGUGUAGGCGUGAACAAGUCCAGACCACUACCUUAACAGGUAUGAGGAAAAUGAAGACUCUCCUAUUUUGGCACGUAUCUCAAAAUUGUCAUCAUUCACUUAAAGUGCAUAACCACAGAGACCUUCCUACUUAUUUUCUCUGGUGUUUUGAAGUUUUGUCAUGGGAAGAAAAUAGCGCUUCUAGAAACAUGAACUAGACUAAUUACUAAUGGAUUCUUUCUCUUACAUUUUGUACAGUGGAAUAAGGGCUAUUAAUUCAUUAAGCAGUUGGCUUGGAACCUUCUCUGACGACUCUUUGCAAAGAGAGAGAGGUCUAGAAGACUUGUGGGAAGGGAGGAAGUGGUGGUACCUGAUAUUUUCCAAUUUUCCGCAGGUCACUGAUGGGAACUUUGACCAGCAUCCUUGUUCCUCCCUCAACUUAUGGUCACCCUAAAAAAGCUAAGGCAUAGAUUUCAAAUUCUGGAGCCAGUUUUUGUAUUUAGGUCUCCAAGUACAGAGAGAAACUGGCAGACAGGGGUGGAGAAGUAUUGAGAACGAAUUCGGACACCCUGAAAGCGGAGUUCUAGAUCCAGUGUUGCCAGCAACGAGCCAAGAGACCUUUCUUCACAAGUUGAUUUACCUUUCCAUGUUUCAGUUUUCUCAUAAUUCCUGCCCUUAUUCCCUUCUCACCACCCCUGAUCCCCUCCCCUUUCCUGAUUGGGUAACAGGACAGGAAGCAGCAGAGCAUUCUAUGAAGCUUCCUCCUCAACGUCCUAGAGUAGCGGGUCUCAGUCUUCACUACACAGUCAAGUCCCAUGGUGCAUUUUUCAAACUUGCAUACCUGGCCCUUCCUGUGCUGAAUUCUGGUCUGCCCAUAAUUUGCUCCCUCCUUUCUCACUGUUUUCCUUUCUCCCUUCCUUGUUUUCUUUCCUAUCCCUUGCUGUCUCUGUUAGAACUUCUUUUUCCUGGUAUCUAGCCAAUCUCUUAACCCUGUUUUACUUUACUGUCCUAAGAUGCUGUCUUCUCAUGCCUACAUGUACUUUCUUUAAAAAAAAAACUGUUUAAAAAACAUUGUGUGGGAGGAGCCAAGAUGGCCAAAUAGGAACAGCUCCAGCCUACAGCUCCCAGCGUGAGCGAUGCAGAAGAUGGGUGAUUUCUGCAUUUCCAUCUGAGGUACCAGGUUCAUCUCACUAGGGAGUGCCAGACAGUGGGCACAGGUCAGUGGGUGCACGCACCAUGCGCGAGCCGAAGCAGGGCGAGGCUUUGCCUCUCUCAGGAAGCCCAAGGGGUCAGGGAGUUCCCUUUCCUAGUCAAAGAAAGUGGUGACAGACGGCACCUGGAAAAUCGGGUCACUCCCGAAUACUGCGCUUUUCCAACGGGCUUAAAAACUGGCGCACCGGGCCGGGCGCGGUGGCUCACGCCUGUAAUCCCAGCACUUUGGGAGGCCGAGGCGGGCGGAUCACGAGGUCAGGAGAUCGAGACCAUCCCG
rnacentral:lncRNA from 1 species